AAUAUUCUAGGCUUUGUGGGCCACUCACCGGGGGCUCCAACGACUCACCUCUGCCAUUCUGUCGGGAAAGCAAUCCAGGCAAUACCUACCGAAAUGAGCGUGGCUGCGUUCCAACAAAAUUCCGUUUACAACAACCGGAUCCGGAGCUUAGAUCAUUGGAAUAUACCAUCUACCUUGAAUGGUCUGUUCAUGUGAGGCUGCAGUCUACGUGUGUUUGAACUCAAACAGUGGACCACACACCUGGAUGUUCUGCCCAGUAACAGCACAGAAGUAAAGAUGAUUGAUUCUGCCUGGAAGGUAUAUUGUUAAGUUGACUUACUACUGUUACAGGAAGAAGAAGAGUAAUCCUAGUUCCAGGGCCCUUCACUGUGCUUUCCAGAAGUCCUUGGUGAUGACUUUGAAGUCAGGGUGUGACCCACAGUUCUGGCCCUCGCUAAGAAUAUGCCACAGGCAAAUGUAACUUGCAAUAGCAAGGCAAAGGAUGCCUGUCCAAUAAACUAUAUUCCAGACCCGGAGAACAAAUGGUCAUUCCCACUGGAAUGCCCUAUUCUCAUGGAAUGAUUUUAAAUAAUUAAUAAAAUAAUUAAUAAUUAAUAAAAUAAUUAAUAAAAAGGAUUUACAAG